GGUUGCGGUCAAGAAUUACGGCUAAGCGAACAUACGGAUCCCAAGUUAGGAUCUUUACAAAGCUUAGGGGAAAGUCUCCGAGCCACAACAAAUACCUAGAAAGUAGGGCCCUUGACUGGGUGGGUUGUGCUUCACACUGGCCAGAAUGAGUAUUUACUCAUUUGAGUGUUUGUAGCAAGGGUCCUCUUCGGAGUUGAUGCUUGCUAUUUAGCACCCAGAUGAUGUGCUUUAGCCUUCAGGUGUGGUCACAACUUUUAGCUAUAUCAAAGUUAUGUAAUUGCCGCUACCAAGGUAACUUGGCCGGUGGUAACAGAAUGGAGCUCACUCUGAUUGCAAU
rnacentral:RNase_MRP_RNA from 1 species